rnacentral:tRNA from 1 species
GGGGAUUUAGCUCAGCGGCUUAAGCGCCUGCCUUGCAAGCAGACGUUCGUGAGUUCAAUCCCCA